rnacentral:rRNA from 1 species
AUUGAACGCUGGCGGCAUGCCUUACACAUGCAAGUCGAACGGUAACGCGGGGCAACCUGGCGACGAGUGGCGAACGGGUGAGUAAUGCAUCGGAACGUGCCCAGUAGUGGGGGAUAGCCCGGCGAAAGCCGGAUUAAUACCGCAUACGACCUGAGGGUGAAAGGGGGGGAUCGCAAGACCUCUCGCUAUUGGAGCGGCCGAUGUCAGAUUAGCUAGUUGGUGGGGUAAAGGCCUACCAAGGCAACGAUCUGUAGUUGGUCUGAGAGGACGACCAGCCACACUGGGACUGAGACACGGCCCAGACUCCUACGGGAGGCAGCAGUGGGGAAUUUUGGACAAUGGGCGCAAGCCUGAUCCAGCAAUGCCACGUGCAGGAAGAAGGCCUUCGGGUUGUAAACUGCUUUUGUCAGGGAAGAAAUCUUCUGGGUUAAUACCUCGGGAGGAUGACGGUACCUGAAGAAUAAGCACCGGCUAACUACGUGCCAGCCGCCGCGGUAAAAC